rnacentral:lncRNA from 1 species
AAAGAGAGAGAGAGAGAAAGAGAGAGAAAAAAUAUUAAGGAAUUUCAACUUCAUCCUGAGGAGGUAGAAAGGAUUGUGUAUAGGAGUGUGACUUGAGAAGAUGUAUAUUUGAAAAAUGUUAUGAGAUGGGAACGAUACACAGCCUCUCCUUUUCAGGGUGAGACCCACACUGUCCUAGGAGGAGAAGGAGUUCGGAAGAAGAAAGGAACACUCCAAACCCAAAACACAUGUAAAGGGAGCCAGAAACUGAGUACCAAAAAAUACUGACUACUAAAAAACAGAAGUGCCAAAAGUGAAGGGUAAAAGUAAAAGCUGCCAGAGAGAAAGGGACAAGAAGAACAUAAAUCUUGAGUGAAGAGUGGAAGUGCAAUACUAUAAAAUUAACAGAGACUUUAUAAAUGACUAGAAGUGAGGGAAAUUGGCACAGCAUCCAUUGAUAAUGACAGGAGAAUAAUUUCAGCAGAGGGCUGCACCACAAUUUCAUUAGGUUUCCUUUAGAUAUCCUGGAAUGCUACUUUCUAGAAACUGGCCAUCAGUCUUAUUCUGUAACUUUAAUUCUCCAACCAAUUUAAAAUGAUUAUAUUCUCAUCCCCAAGAUGCCUAAUGGGCUGAACUGUAAUACUUAAAAUUCAAGUUUGUCUAUGAGAUAGUGGUGAUUGCUUGGAACUGGUAAUAGUGGUUACUCUAAGCAAGGACUUUAAACAAAACAAAAGCUUUAUGAGAAAUUUCUGGCUUAUAUCUUUCAAAUAGAUUAUUAAUUAAUAAUACUGGAAGGUUUUAAUAAAAUCAUGCUAAUGUCCUUCUCAGCAACAGUGUUAUUAUAGCAUCAACUUAUAACCAAAGCAAUAUAUAUUAGAAGUGACCAGCUAAAAUCAGAAAUGUGAAUUAUGGGAAUAUAUGAAAUUGCAACAAUAAGUUAUUAGAGGUAUGAUUAAUGAAGCAUCCGCCAUGUGGCAAGUCUCACCCCAGAGCCACUGAGCCCUUCUGAGUUCAUCAGUUUGGUUACCAAUUAUUUCCCAAUAUCCAUUAAUGGCAGGCACUAAUUUUAUUUUUCUCUAUAGUAUUCUUAAAGUACUCUUAAGGAUAAAGUAGAAUGGAAGUGAAUCAUUUGUUCCUGCUGUAAUGACUGGCCAACUCAAAACAUUAAAUGCCAGCUCUGAGUGUUAUGAUGAAUGCCACCUUAAAUACAUAAAAUGAAAAAAUUAUGUUGACAUAAUAGAUGAAGUCAUAAUUUGCAGAAUUUUAGUAAAAUUGGAAUUCUAGGAUUACAUAUGCAUAUGAUUAGUUGUUCAUUCAUUUAUUAAUUUAUUCACUCAAUCACCUGUAUACCAAAUAUGUAUUAAGUAUCUGUUAUGUGCCAGGAACCUGUUCCAGGUUCAGAGAAUACAGUGAAUAAACAGACUGAACCCUGCUCUCAAUGAACAUCUUCAUGUUACUUGAUAUGAGUUCAUUCCUUGAACUAGAACAUCAAUAAGAUGCUGGAGUUUAAUCAACCACAGCAGACUGUGAGGUGGAAGCCACUUGGUGAUUGUGAGCCAGCACCAAGAUCGAAGGCAUUUGGAUCCCUGGUGAUCACAGACCCAGCAUGUCAUCUCUGCAAAGGUCUUUGAGCAGGAGCCCAAGGAAGGAAAAAUAAGGACACACAUUUUUGGCUGGAUUAGUAACAUCUUUCCUUUGUCUUCAUCCACCAGUGUUCUUGGUACACUGAAAUCUUCCCAGAAAGUGUGGAAUAUUG